rnacentral:lncRNA from 1 species
UUCUGCCAGGACCAUACUGAAGGUGCCCACUGUCAGAUUUGCUCUCCAGGAUACUAUGGGGACCCCCGAGCUGGUGGCUCCUGCUUCCGGGAGUGUGGGGGUCGUGCCCUCCUCACCAAUGUGUCCUCAGUGGCUCUGGGCUCUCGCCGCUUUGGGGGACUUCUGCCUCCAGGUGGUGGGACAGCAAGAGCUGGACCCGGCCUGUCCUACUGUGUGUGGGUUGUCUCAGCCACAGAAGCGCUGCAGCCCUGUGCCCCUGGGACCCUCUGUCCCCCACUCACCCUCACCUUCUCUCCAGACAGCAGCACCCCUUGCACAGUGAGCACUAGGGGUCUAAGACUUGGUGUAUAAGCCGGAACCAUGUCCCCUUCCCAACCUGGUCCCCUAAAUAGAUCCCCACCCCUUGCC